GAUGAACGCUGGCGGCGUGCCUAAUACAUGCCAGUCGAGCGAACGGACGAGAAGCUUGCUUCUCUGAUGUUAGCGGCGGGCGGGUGAGUAACACGUGGAUAACCUACCUAUAAGACUGGGAUAACUUCGGGAAACCGGAGCUAAUACCGGAUGAUAUUUUGAACCGCAUGGUUCAAAAGUGAAAGACGGUCUUGCUGUCACUUAUAGAUGGAUCCGCGCUGCAUUAGCUAGUUGGUAAGGUAACGGCUUACCAAGGCAACGAUGCAUAGCCGACCUGAGAGGGUGAUCGGCCACACUGGAACUGAGACACGGUCCAGACUCCUACGGGAGGCAGCAGUAGGGAAUCUUCCGCAAUGGGCGAAAGCCUGACGGAGCAACGCCGCGUGAGUGAUGAAGGUCUUCGGAUCGUAAAACUCUGUUAUUAGGGAAGAACAUAUGUGUAAGUAACUGUGCACAUCUUGACGGUACCUAAUCAGAAAGCCACGGCUAACUACGUG
rnacentral:rRNA from 1 species